rnacentral:rRNA from 1 species
UACGAAGGGGGCUAGCGUUGCUCGGAUUGACUGGGCGUAAGGGCGCGUAGGCGGUUCGUACAGUCAGACGUGAAAUCCUGGGCUCAACCUGGGGGCUGCGUUUGAUACGUGCGGACUUGAGUGCGGAAGAGGGUCGUGGAAUUCCCAGUGUAGAGGUGAAAUUCGUAGAUAUUGGGAAGAACACCGGUGGCGAAGGCGGCGACCUGGUCCGAUACUGACGCUGAGGCGCGAAAGCGUGGGGAGCAAACAGGG